CAUCUGACUGUGACAUCUGUCACCCCGUUGAUCUUCAGGGUUGAUUCAGCUGAUCUGCUAGCUGGAUGGGUUCCAUGUGUACCCCUCCUGAAGCUGCAUGCUGGGUUGAAAAGGAUCAGCUUCCCAGAUAGUAGGGGCCUGUUCUUCCUGCAAGGGCAUACAAGCAGCCAUGCUCCUCUGCUAGAACCUCCAAACAAGUUCUCAGGGUCCAUUUACAGAAGAACAUAGGGCAGUCAAGCUCCCAAGGCUCCAGACACAUCCGAAUGAGCUGCUGGAUCUGGCAGACUGCUUCCUUU
ensembl:misc_RNA 7SK 7SK RNA